CCGGUAGUGGGGGACAACGUUUCGAAAGGAACGCUAAUACCGCAUACGUCCUACGGGAGAAGCAGGGACCUUCGGGCCUUGCGCUAUCAGAUGAGCCUAGGUCGGAUUAGCUAGUUGGUGAGGUAAUGGCUCACCAAGGCGACGAUCCGUAACUGGUCUGAGAGGAUGAUCAGUCACACUGGAACUGAGACACGGUCCAGACUCCUACGGGAGGCAGCAGAU
rnacentral:rRNA from 1 species